rnacentral:tRNA from 1 species
GCAGCCGUGGCCGAGUGGUUAAGGCGAUAGACUAGAAAACCAUUGGGGUCUCCCCGCACAGGUUCAAAUCCUGUCGACUGCG